rnacentral:pre_miRNA from 1 species
CAAGUACUCCCUCCGUAUGGAAUUACUUGUCAUCAAAAUGGAUGUAUCUAGAACUAAAAUACAUCUAGAUACAUCCAUUUCAAUGACAAGUAUUUUCGGACGGAGGGAGUACAAG